AGCGAACGCUGGCGGCAGGCUUAACACAUGCAAGUCGAGCGGGCGUAGCAAUACGUCAGCGGCAGACGGGUGAGUAACGCGUGGGAACGUACCUUUUGGUUCGGAACAACACAGGGAAACUUGUGCUAAUACCGGAUGAGCCCUUACGGGGAAAGAUUUAUCGCCGAAAGAUCGGCCCGCGUCUGAUUAGCUAGUUGGUAGGGUAAUGGCCUACCAAGGCGACGAUCAGUAGCUGGUCUGAGAGGAUGAUCAGCCACAUUGGGACUGAGACACGGCCCAAACUCCUACGGGAGGCAGCAGUGGGGAAUAUUGGACAAUGGGGGCAACCCUGAUCCAGCCAUGUCGCGUGAGUGAUGAAGGCCCUAGGGUUGUAAAGCUCUUAUGUGCGGGAAGAUAAUGACGGUACCGCAAGAAUAAGCCCCGGCUAACUUCGUGCCAGCCGCCGCAGUAA
rnacentral:rRNA from 1 species